AUUGAACGCUAGCGGGAUGCUUUACACAUGCAAGUCGAACGAGUGGCGGACGGGUGAGUAAUAUCUCGGAACGUGCCCAGUAGCGGGGGAUAACUACUGGAAAGAGUGGCUAAUACCGCAUACUCUUGGAGAGGCCGAUAUGGGAUUAGCUAGUUGGUGGGGUAAAGGCUCACCAAGGCGACGAUCCGUAGCUGGUUUGAGAGGACGACCAGCCACACUGGAACUGAGACACGGCCCAGACUCCUACGAGAGGCAGCAGUGGGGAAUAUUGCACAAUGGGCGCAAGCCUGAUGCAGCCAUGCCGCGUGGAUGAAGAAGGCCCUAGGGUUGUAAAGUACUUUCAGUCGGGAGGCGUUACCCCCAGAAGAAGCACCGGCUAACUCCGUGCCAGCAGCCGCGGUAAUAC
rnacentral:rRNA from 1 species